GAUGAACGCUGGCGGCGUGCCUAAUACAUGCAAGUCGAACGAAGAUGUUCUUGAGUUUACUCGAGAGCUCUUAGUGGCGGACGGGUGAGUAACGCGUUGGUGACCUGCCCUAAAGAAGGGAACAACCUCGGGAAACUGAGGCUAAUACCCUAUAUGCUUCUUAAGAUUAGAUGCUUUUGAAGUAAAGGUUCUGAGGACGAAAGGCCUCAGCGCCGCUUUAGGAGGGGCCUGCGUCCCAUCAGCUAGUUGGUAGGGUAAUGGCCUACCAAGGCAAUGACGGGUAGGGGACCUGAGAGGGUGACCCCCCACACUAGCACUGAAACACGGGCUAGACACCUACGGGUGGCAGCAGUAGGGAAUCUUGCACAAUCGACGAAAGUCUGAUGCAGCAACGCCGCGUGUGCGAUGAAGGCCUUCGGGUUGUAAAGCACUUUUCUGAGGGAAGAGAAAGGACGGUACCUCAGGAAUAAGUCUCGGCUAACUACGUG
rnacentral:rRNA from 1 species